GAUUUUCCGUAUUUUUAGCUUUGCAAAAUUCAUAGCUUCUCUCCUCCUCCUCUCAGAGAGGAGAGAGAAGAAGAACAAGAGAAAAUAUAAAGAGCGUUUUUUCAAAUUAAAAAAAAAAACUUUAAAUUCCCUCUCCCUCUCCCUCUAGGGUUUCUACUCUCAAAAAUCCAAUCUUCUCUUCUUCUUUAGCCAAUCUCGAUUACCCGUACUUGCAUUAUCGAGACACAUUAAAGAAAAAUCGCCGAUUUCUCUUCUUUUAAAGGUGAUCUCAUCGGUUAAUUGUUUGUACAGAUUCGAGUGUAUAGAUACAGAAAUUGCAUUUGAGGAUCAAUGGUAUGCUCAAUUGGAAAUGGGAGAAUGGCAGUCAUGGCUCGGCUUCUGGCCGCGGGAAGUUUAUUGCAAAAUAAUGCAGAGGAGGAUAGCCAACAGAAAUUAGCUACUCAAUAUAUUUGCAGAGAAUUACACGAGGCAGAAGAACCAAAUUUACUUGAUGAAGAAGAUAUGCGUGUUUUUGGUUUGAUGCCUAUGACUGACCCUUUGGACCUGGUAUGUUGCAAUGCUUGUAAGAAGACAGUGAAGGCUAGCCAAUAUGCAGCCCAUGCAGAGCUUUGUAGGUUCUUAAAUUCUGCAGAAGAAAUGACCUUGGAGCCUGAUGGUGGCACAGGACGCAGGAAACCUCCAAGGAAGGAGAGGAAAAAGUUAAUAACUGCCUAUUCUAACCAAGCCACACCAGUUGUGGAACGAGAAAGUUCUGAAUAUAUAGUUGCAGAUGAUACUGUUGCAUCAGAAUCUCAGUUGGACAGGCCUCCUAGAAUGCCUUCUUCCUUCUCCCUGGAUACAAAAAGAAAUUCUGCUACUGUAGAUGUGGCAUCUAUGAUUGUUGGAAAAGCAGUGAGUCCUGAGAACAGAGACUACUCAGCCUGUGUGACGCCACCUCCAACAAAACGCUAUAAAUUCAUAUCAACUGAGCAUCGACUGCAAUCAGAUGAUCCAGAAACAGCUUCUGGCUUAACAAAAGUUACAAGCACUGUGGAUCCAUCUACUUAUAUUCCUGCUCCCCUUGCUACCAAAGUUUAUUACUCUCAAAGGAACUCUCGUCUACGGUCAGCAGUUGCUUAUCUGUACCAUGCCACAUCUGCUGAGGGACUGAACAUGGUGAAUUCAGAAUUAUCACAGGAAAGCUUAAUGCAACUACUGGCUUCAUCUCAGAAGGGUUCUUUAGAUGCACAAACAAAUGACCUGAUCAAUGAAAAGGCAGGGAGAUCCUUCUGUGCAUGAACCUGAUGAAAUUCGUGCACAAAGUUCAGAGAUGUGCCUGGAUAAUUCAGGAGGAUGUCCACCAUUGACUAACUUCUCAAAUCAGUUUCCUGUUGAUAACAUUCUAAGGCCCCAGACUGCUUCAGUUGGAAUGCUCGGAAGCAAAUAUCUUUCAAAGCCCUAUUCUUUUGCAGGCAACUCAGGUCAAUCUCUUGGAACCAUGCAGCAACCAAACGGAACUGUCCCUGUUUUAUAGGAGCCCAUGUGGGAAUUUUGGCUAGGCGAAUAUUUAUUAAAUACCAAAUGUGAGGUUAGGAUCCAUUUUUGAAAACACAGAAGCAAAUCACCGCAAUUGUUCAUUCUAGCAUUCUGUAUCAUACUUGACAUCUGACUGUUGCUUAUACUACUUGAAUAGAAAUAAAAAAAAUAAAAUCAUCGUAGUCACAGUUACAGACCUAAAA